UGUGUUUGAUCGGAGUUAUCGUUCCUGAUCUGAGUAAACAUACUUCCGGUUUCGAUAGCGUAAAACUGAAAGUUGAGGAAAGUUGAUAGUUAAAAGCCCUGUUUUAAAAGUAAAUAAACUCUACAUAAGUCUUUAUAUUGUCUAUAAGGCAAAUGUUGUCAAAUACUAUAUUUUUCUUCGUAAUAAUCAAAGGAUCCUUGUGCAUAUCGUCAGAGCCAUAUAUGUAUGUACGUUCCUGAUAUCGUCAAUAAUCAAGUCAUCUUGGAAAUCCCAGCCAUCAAAGCAAAUAUGCCAAGCUGUCCCAUAUGUUUCGAGGAAACCAUUAAUCCACACUUUUGCGUACCAUGCCGACACGUUUUUUGUUACGACUGUAUUUCUGCAUGGACAAACGGAACAUGUCCAUUAUGCAGAGAAAGUAUCACUACAUUUAAACCAAUUCAACUAGCACAGACUUCUUCCAAUGAUUCUCCAAACUACGCUGAGAAGAGCAAACUGUUUUCUAUAGUUCUGGUGAUUACCUUUUUUCUCGUAGACCUUCAGAGUUGCUCUGGAUUUUUGCGUUGUGUUAUUUACCCUCCUUUUCGUGACAUAUGCCUUAUUGUCUGGGAAAUCCUCUACAUCCUAGCAAUGGCAAUAUUUACUCCUUUUAAAUGUAUCUAUAGAUUACUGAUUGAGAUAGUCAUUUAUGAGCUUUAUGAUUUUUUCAUUGCUGUUUGUUACAUGCCUUUAAAUAUUGGGAAAAUCUUACUAAGUUUGCCAAUAUAUCUUUUUGACGGUGUUAAAACAUUUCUGCUCGAAAACAGCUGGGCAGACCUUCUGCUUAGAGCGAUUCAUAUUUCCCUUAUCGUACUUUUUCUAAUCUUCUCUUCGCAAACGAGCAUUCUGCGGCAAUUCGAAAACAUUGAAAGAAAACUGAGAGCCCAUUUUAGAAAUGUUGCUGAAAGAUACAAGCGUAGACUAAAGCAGUCAUAAAAGUGUCGACUGAUUAAAACAAUCCUCUAGUCUUAUCAAGAAUUUAAAGAAAACAAAGUCGGUCGACAGAAGAAAAUACAUGAGUUAGCUUGAUUUUUAAACAAUUUUCACCGAUAAAAAGUAUUUAUUUAUAUCAUUCCACUCAACUUUGUUGCUCGAAUUCAUUUAUCAUUAUUUUUUAGUUCAUAUUGACCUACUUAAUAAAUUUUUAUUAUUAAUAAACUUGCUAAAACAAGCAAGAACAAUGGGUCUGGAAACCCUGUGUACUCGUACCCUUGGCCUGGCCAGUUUAUGUUUGACAGUCUGAGUGUAUAGAAUUUUUGACGAUAUUUAUAUGUACAUGUGUAUAUAGUGAAUUCGAAAAACAGACUGGUUGUUUGCUAAUUCUGUCAGAUUUAAUUGUUAAUCAUUUGUUUAACUUUAUAUAUUAAAACAGAAGACGAUAUUGAGCAGUGCUUUGAUUAAAAAUAAAAUCACAAAUAGUAAUA